UUCCUUCCCCCUGGCUCUUCUUGGUACUGUUUUUGGGAGAAACUGGAGUGGCGCUCCAAACAAUCCAUGCCGUGUCAAGACCAUACCUCGGCCUAUUCCCGAAAAGAAGUGGUAUCUGACACCAUCUGUAGUUUCCUUGAUGGGAGGAUUGCUGCCAUUUGGAAGCAUAUUUAUUGAGAUGUAUUUUGUCUUCACUUCCUUCUGGAACUACAAGGUUUACUAUGUCUAUGGUUUUAUGCUUCUUGUAUUUAUUAUUCUCAUCAUCGUCACCGUUUGUGUGACAAUUGUGGGCACGUAUUUCUUGCUGAAUGCCGAGAACUACCAUUGGCGAUGGACUUCAUUCUUUUCUGCUGCCUCAACAGCUCUUUAUGUUUAUCUUUACGCCAUAUAUUACUAUCACGUAAAGACUAAGAUGUCCGGUUUCUUCCAGACCAGCUUUUACUUUGGCUACACUAUGAUGUUCUGCCUUGGCCUCGGCAUCCUCUGUGGUGCUGUAGGAUAUCUUGGCUCUAACUUGUUUGUUAGAAGGAUUUACAGAAAUAUCAAGUGUGAUUAAGUGCUCAAACAAAGCAUAUGAAACAAUGCACCACAGUUUUGCAUGAUCCAUUCUACCUGUCACUUGUGGAUUUCCAGAUAAUACCAUAGCAAUCGGGUUACCUAAUGUGAAUGAAGAUUAUUUUUACAAGAGAUCGAAGGAAGAAAAUUAGUUAUUUCCAAUUUUUCUGAUUUAGAAUGUGUGGAAAUGUUUAGUAAAGUUGUAUGGGAGAAACAAUGGAAUAUUGUGCAACUUUUGUAGUGCAUACAUAUAUUACUUGCAUAUACAUUUGUUUUAUUACUUCAAAG
rnacentral:misc_RNA from 1 species